ensembl:miRNA
CAGUUAAAUUUGAAUUUCAGGUCAAUAACUAAUAAUUUUUCAGUUUAAGUAUGUCUCUUGCAAUAUUUGGGACAUACUUAUACCAAAAAAUUGUGUUGUUUUCUGAACU